UUUAGGUUUUUUUGUAAGCCUUUAAAUGAUAAAGUAUAACUUUCAACAACGGAUCUCUUGGCUCUCGCAUCGAUGAAGAACGCAGCGAAAUGCGAUAAGUAAUGUGAAUUGCAGAAUUCAGUGAAUCAUCGAAUCUUUGAACGCAUCUUGCGCUCCUUGGUAUUCCGAGGAGCAUGCCUGUUUGAGUGUCAUUAAGUAUCUCAAAAGCUUAAGCCUAUUUUGUGGCGUGAGACUUUUGGACAAUGGGAGUUGCCGGUCACUGAUGAAAGUGGUGGGCUCUUCUGAAAAGUAUUAGUUGAGGAACUUUGGACUCUAUUGGUGUGAUAGACUAUCUAUGCCAGGAGAAGCUUUAUGAUCCUCUGCUGUCUAACUGUCUUCAUUGGACAAACAUGAUGAACUUGACCUCAAAUCAGGUAGGA
rnacentral:rRNA from 1 species